rnacentral:rRNA from 1 species
UACGGAGGAUGCAAGCGUUAUCCGGAAUGAUUGGGCGUAAAGCGUCCGCAGGUGGCUGUGUAAGUCUGCUGUCAAAGAGCGAAGCUCAACUUCGUAAAGGCAGUGGAAACUACACGGCUAGAGUGCGUUCGGGGCAGAGGGAAUUCCUGGUGUAGCGGUGAAAUGCGUAGAGAUCAGGAAGAACACCGGUGGCGAAGGCGCUCUGCUAGGCCGCAAUUGACACUGAGGGACGAAAGCUAGGGGAGCGAAUGGG